GGGCACGCAGUACUUGUCUGCGGUAGAAAACGGGACACGCUACGGCACCCGGCAGCCCCUCGUGAGGACACCAUGCCGUGCAGGGUGGGAGAGGAGGCAGGAGGAGGCUUUGCUCAGGAAUUACCGCCUCAUUUGGAGUUUCCCCAGGGGAAGGAAAUGUACCCGUGGUUUUACAAUGCGGCGGCUGCUCUCCUUAAUUUCUCCACGUAACUCAUACCUGGAGGGAAGAAGGUAGAUGACUACGCGUGUUUUCAUGAAAUGUGGUAGGAAACCUGAGAGCUCAGUGCUGAAAAGAAUGCCAUACCUACCCAACAGCCUUUACAGUAAUUCAUUUAUACUCGGCAAAACUGCCUCCUGAACGGAAGGAAGGUUACUAAAGACAUUUGAAAGAUUGUGACCGCCUACUGAAGAUUGUUUCUUAAACUUAUGUAUUGAUCAACCAUUUUCACCUGCACUGAAAGAGCUUUUGGUGCGGAGGGAUACAUUAAUCACUCAUGUAGAGCACUGACACUCUGCCCAGCUGCUAAAAGAGAGCUGUUUGCUGGCUUACUCUUCGACGCCAUUUGACAGGAAACACUGUUCCAAGUGUUUCAGCUCCAUCAACAUGUGCAGUUUCCCAUAGCCUAGAGAAGAUUGCUUGUAAACACUGCAAAAAGCUAAGUGCAGUGCUUUCCAAGAAGAUAAUGACAUCCCUUGGUUUGGAUUUGAAGUAUUAAAGUUUGUUGGGGUUUUUUGGGUGGUUGGUUUUUUUUUGUUCCUCCAAAUAGUUUUUGAUAUGGGAGUCACAGAAUCACAGAAUGGCUGAGGUUGGAAGGCAUCCCUGGAGAUCAUAUAGUCCAACCCCCUGCUCAAGCAGGGUCAGCCAGAGCAGGCUGCCCAGGACCAUGUCCAGUUGGGUUCUGAGUAUCUCCAUGUCUUCAUUACAUUUCAGGGAAAAAAAUGACAGGAAGCAAACUAACACCAGAUUGUUUGAAAAAUUAAGCAAGCAGUUGCUACAUCAAUGCUAAAAUGCAACUGCCCCGAUCUAGGCAUGUGCUCGUGGACAAAAGAAGCGAACAAGCAAACUGCCAAACAGCAGCAUCACCGUGUCAUGUUCCAUUUUUUAGUAGUUCAGGGCACCUUCAUUGCAUUUCAAGGAUACACAUUCUUCAGGCUAUGAUACGUGCCAGUACUGUGGGAGGAUUCCAGCUUAAGGUAUUCAUAUUGCAUUGAAUCCAAUCUGCUAGCAGCCUUAAAAAUGGAUGCAGAAAGAAGAGCUUUCUGCCAGGAGACUCAAGGACACCUAUGACUGACUGGGACUAAAAUGGCCAUCAAAGCUAUUACAUACACAUGACCAGGGCUGCCCAGGAGUAGCAACCCUUUGUUGCCACAAACUUCUUCCUAGGUUUGAUUCAAGCUUACCUAGGCUGGAUAAAUUACAGAUUUUCCAAAUAGAAAUAAUAAAAAAAAAUGCACGCACAUCCAUGGAUCUGCUGUUUUUAAUGUGUUAUUUUGUUUACAAAUGAUGAUAUGCACUCUAUUUUUGAAGAAAUUGACCUCAAUGUGUUUGGCCAAUUACAUGAGAGAUGCAAAAUCAAAGUUGAUUUGUGCACCUGAUUCACCCCUAACUUUGGCAAGUAACGUGUAGCUGAGGAGAUUUACUCUAUUUGAUGUUUAACCUCCCCUGUAAAACACAGUAAUGAUUGGGGGUUUGCCUAGGUGUGCUCUUGUAGACCAGCAGUCUGUAGCUGACACGCAUGAAGGUUAGUGUAAGGAACCUGUGAGGACCUUUCCCUCACCCAAAAGGGACAAUAGCUGUCAUUGUGUGAUUUUUAAGACUCCCUAAGUAAAAGAGAAGGAGAGAAGGAAAACCCUUAUAGAGAUAAAGGAGUGUAACAGCUGGGAAGCAAAAUCAACCAGUGAGUAGGCAGAGGCAUUCCCAGUGUUGAGUAACUGGGAAAAAGAGAAGACUAGAACAAAGAACAAGUGAACACACCUGCGUGAAUCUCUGCGUGAAUCCAUCAGAGACAACCCUCAAGCUCCUGAGGCUCCUGAGACAGCUGGCCAAUGGCCUGGUGCAAGCUGGUUAACAGAGGCUAUGUUUUACAUAUUUAUGUACAUACCCAAUAAAACUUCUCACUUAAA